GAUGAACGCUGGCGGCGUGCCUAAUACAUGCAAGUCGAGCGAACGGACGAGAAGCUUGCUUUUCUGAUGUUAGCGGCGGACGGGUGAGUAAAACGUGGAUAACCUACCUAUAAGACUGGGAUAACUUCGGGAAACCGGAGCUAAUACCGGAUAAUAUUUUGAACCGCAUGGUUCAAAAGUGAAAGACGGUCUUGCUGUCACUUAUAGAUGGAUCCGCGCUGCAUUAGCUAGUUGGUAAGGUAACGGCUUACCAAGGCAACGAUGCAUAGCCGACCUGAGAGGGUGAUCGGCCACACUGGAACUGAGACACGGUCCAGACUCCUACGGGAGGCAGCAGUAGGGAAUCUUCCGCAAUGGGCGAAAGCCUGACGGAGCGACGCCGCGUGAGUGAUGAAGGUCUUCGGAUCGUAAAACUCUGUUAUUAGUGAAGAACAUAUGUGUAAGUAACUGUGCACAUCUUGACGGUACCUAAUCAGAAAGCCACGGCUAACUACGUG
rnacentral:rRNA from 1 species